UGCGUAGGUGGUUUUGUAAGCGCGGGGUGAAAGGCAAUAGCUCAACUAUUGUAAGCCCUGCGAACUGUGAGACUUGAGUGUAGGAGAGGAAAGCGGAAUUCCUAGUGUAGCGGUGAAAUGCGUAGAUAUUAGGAGGAACACCAGUGGCGAAGGCGGCUUUCUGGACUGUAACUGACACUGAGGCACGAAAGCGUGGGGAGCAAACA
rnacentral:rRNA from 1 species